GUGGGAAACAUGAGUGAGGGGCUCUUUCUUCCCUUUCGUUCCAGAGGGUCUGAGAACGAGGAGGAGCAGUGCCCGUGGAUGGCAGAGCAGACCUCGCCUGGGUCAGGUCUGGGCUCUGCUGCCACAACCCAGCCUUCCGCCAGCGGCAGCUCCAGAUAAAGAAUGCAGAGUAUGUGCUUCAGUGUCACAAACUGUGCCUGGCCACCAUCCAUCAUCCUGUCAAGACAUCACUCCAGACAGCCUGGCUUCAAGCAGAACCAGGUUGGGGAUUUUCCUCCCAAGAAUAACAAACAGCAGCUAAGUCAGAUCCAGGAGCCAGCUGAGGCCAGCACAGUUCUCUCCCCUGUGAAUGUGACAAUUGGCCUGGGUCCUGAUUCCCCACAUCCUGCUGCCUAAUGUGAUGUACCCAUCAUCUCCAACCAAGAGACAGGGAUCAGAGAUUCAACAUGUCAGCAAACUACAACUCACCCGCAUGCAAGCCAGCUGUCCAAUGGGAAUUCUUCUGAUGGAGCGAUGGGGUGGACUGAGGUUUUAUACUUGCUUCCUCCAGUGAUGCAGAGCACUAUUUCCAAACCCAAGUAGUCCUCUGGCUCCCAAAAUGAGGGAGAAGAGAGGAGGAGAAGGAGGAGCUAAGCUGCACCCAUUGUCAGUGAGCACAGGUGCAGGAGAGAGGGGGUGCCAGACACAUCUCCACCUCCAUCCCUGGAUCUGUGAUUGACAGGUACUCGUAUAAUUCAUACAGGCCAAAGGGGAAUAUCAGCCCCCUAAAGACACUCAUGUUCUAAUCCCUAGAACCUGUGAAUGUUAACCUUAUAUGGCAAGAAAAGGAUUUUAUAGAUGUGAUUAAGUUUAAGUUCUAAAAAUGGAGAGGUUAUCCUGGAUUAUCUGAGUGGGCCCCAUCUGCAAUCACGAGACCGAGGCAGAGGCAGAUCUGACCCCAGACAGAAGAGGAGAAUGCAGCAGCGCCCGCAGAGGCAGAGGCUGGAAUGGAGCAGCCCCAAGGCAAAGCAUGCUGGCCACCAUCAGAAGCCGGAGUACGUGAGGCACAGACGCUUCCCGGGAGCCUCCAGGGGAGCACAGCCCUGCUGAUACCUUGAUUUGGGCAUUAAGACUUAUUUUGGACUUUCGGCCUCUAGAACUGUGACAGAAUACGUUUCUGUUUUUUACACACUUUGUGUGUAAGACUGUGUUACCGCAGUUGCAGGAAACUCACACCAGGGACUAGAGCAGCACUGUGGUGACCACUGGUGCUGGCAGAUCUGUCAAGUGGACCAGGCCCUGGUUCCAGAAGUGAGGUCCUCAUGCAGAGGAGAGGACUGCACACCUGGAAGGGAGGUGGUGAUUAGGUAAUGAACAGUUCUUCCAUUCCUGUACCAAUUGAACAAGGCAGUCCCCUCUCUCCUAUUCACCCUCAUCCAGCCUCCUCCCCACCAACCCCAUCUACCUCCCUAGAGGGCACUUGCAUUCACCUUGCCACUGCUCUGGUGUAUUUGUUUUUGCACUGCUAUAAAUAAAUACCUGAGCCUGGGUAAUUUAUAAAGACAAGAGGUUGAAUUGGCUCAUGGUCCUGCAGGCUGUACAGGAAGCAUGGCGGCAUCUGCUUCCGGGGAGUCCUCAGGGAGCUUUUACUCAUGGUGGAAGCCAAAGUGGG
ensembl:lncRNA